UACAGAGGGUGCGAGCGUUAAUCGGAAUUACUGGGCGUAAAGCGCACGUAGGUGGCGACGUAAGUCGGGUGUGAAAGCCCGGAGCUCAACCUGGGAACUGCAUUCGAGACUGCAUUGCUGGAGUGUGGUAGAGGAGGGCGGAAUUACCGGUGUAGCGGUGAAAUGCGUAGAUAUCGGGAGGAACAUCAGUGGCGAAGGCGGCCUUCUGGACGAUUACUGACACUGAGACGCGAAAGCGUGGGGAGCAAACAGG
rnacentral:rRNA from 1 species